UUGAUUUGUUGUGAAGGCUUCAAUUCGAUUUUGCUGAUAAUAACAUAUUAGAUCAGAAAAGCUUGCAUCUAUAAAUGUAUCUGCAUUUUAUGAGGCAUGGUAAUCAAGCAAUACAAGUAAACGAUUGUAAGUUAAAAUGUAAGCAUAGCCUUUCCAAGUGAAUUCAUAAUUUACAUUUGAGAUAUUUCAAUUAGCCUACAUUCCCAUAGUAAAGUAAUCAAACUGUGGGAACUGAACUGCGCAGCGACAACAGCGUAUGCAGUGCCUUGAUCUCCCGCUUGAUUUGAUGUGGCGCGGGAAUAGACUACUGUCAUWGGAAAGCACCCCCAAUUGGCACUUGGUCUCAUCCCACGUGGGUCUCUUCUGUAGACCAGGAAGUGCCGAGUCCGACUUCUACAAAUGACAACAAACAUUAAUCACUAAAACAGUUGCAAUCAGUACGAUUGUGGCAUUAUUUCGCUAAUUGUGUAACAGUUUUGUAUCUCACGUGUCUUAUAUCGUAUUGCAGCUAUGUCGGAAGAGGUUUCCUGUUUGAAGUCACGAUUUAUGGAAACACAGAUCGUUGCAUUGAAUGAUAAAUUGGCACAAUUAGGAAAGGUCUACAGCUGCAGGAGAAAGUGACAACACUUCCACCUCUGAAACCCAAGGCAGCCCUGUCCAAUGAAGACAUCAUGCGCUACAGCAGACWGCUUCUGCUGCCAGAGCUGGGUGUACAAGGGCGUGUGGGUCUGCUGGAYUAUGACGAGGUUGAGCUGAGUAACCUGCACAGACAGGUGCUCCAUGGAGAGGACAGCCAGGGCCAGGCCAAGGCCYAGUCUGCUCCCCAUGCUGUCAGAAGGUUGAACUCCACAGUAGAAUAAUUCCCUACCUUCCAGCUCUCUCCAGAGAACACCUUACAGCUCAUCCAACAGUAUCCUCCCUCUCCGCUUUGAGCCUUAUAUUAUCUUACAGGAAGUAAAUAAGAGACUUUACUAUCUGUCACACAGGUUUUCUGUGUAAUCACUGCAUUUUUACUCCUUGACAUUAUCCACCUCAAUUGCGACAUUGUGGCUGACUGUUCAGACAAUGUUCCCACCCGCUAUCUGAUAAAUGAUGCCUGUGUCCUCAGUGGCAAGCGCCUAGUAUCUGCCAGUGCCCUGAGAAUGGAGGGCUAGGUAAGGAUCUAGUUACAUUUAAGUCUCUACAUUUAAGUCCCCGCAUGCAUACUAGAUUUACAUAAAUGUCUGACAAAUGACUGACUAGUAAAUGGCAUAUGUUUAUUGCUACUCAUCCUUUGUGUAUAGUAACCCCUGUUGUCUGUGUCUGUAGUUGACAGUGUAUAACUACCGUGGCGGCCCCUGCUACAGGUGUUUGUACCCAAAGCCUCCACUCCCGGAGAAAGUGACCAACUGCUCUGACGGAGGGGUCCUAGGAGUAGUUGAGUCCUCUUCUGAUUCAUGUCUUCACCCUUUCAUAGAGAAAGGAAUUGAUUGUUGACGUUUCACUCUUUUGUCUCAGUGCCAGGGAUCAUGGGAUGCUUCCAAGCGUUGGAGGUCCUGAAGAUCGCCUCAGGACAGGACUGCAUCUUUCCCAGUGAAAGCUCCCUGAGUCACUCCACAGCCCCACUACAGCUUAUCUACUGUACAAUGAAACGGCACGUUAUGCUUAGUCAUGGUGCUGACUGGAUGAAUGAAAGCCUGAAUGAGUCAGUGUAGCAUGGGAAGGAAGGGGUGUUUUUCUUCAUGACCAUGCCCAUCUGAUAAAGCUAGACUAAAAGAGAGGACAUUCUGUAGAUUUGCUGGACCUUUGAGGUAUGUUUCUGAAUAUACAAAGACCAUUUUAAAUCAGUGACGUGGGUCAUGCUGUGAAUCAUAGUARUGUGUGUCAGUCAGACAGGAGCCCCUUCCUUGACUCAGUGUGACAGCUUCCUGUGGCYAACAGCUGUUGAUGUUUGACGCCCAGGAUGCCAAGUUCCGAUCCAUCAGGCUGCGGACCAAGCAGGCCAGCUGUGCUGUGUGUGGAGAGGACUCCCACUGUCACACACUUAGUGGACUAUGAGAAGUUCUGUGGGUCUGCUGCCACAGAUAAGUGUCGAAGACUAAACCUUCUCUCCAAAGACCAGAGGGUAUCCGUG